rnacentral:rRNA from 1 species
ACAGUCACACAUUAGAUACCCGUGUAGUCCCCAGCCGUAAACUAUGCUCGCUAGGUGUCAGGCAUGGCGCGACCGUGUCUGGUGCCGCAGGGAAGCCGUGAAGCGAGCCACCUGGGAAGUACGGCCGCAAGGCUGAACUUAAAGGAAUUGGCGGGGGAGCACAACAACGGGUGGAGCCUGCGGUUUAAUUGGACUCAACGCCGGACAACUCACCGGGGACGACAGCAAUAUGUAGGCCAGGCUGAAGACCUUGCCUGAAUCGCUG